GAUACACAUGCGCAUUGAACGUGAUUCCUACUUGACGUUGACUUCCGGUUAAAUGUCCCGUGCGUGAAUUUCUCUUAAUCAGCUGAUAAUAACAAUAAUACGUUUAUAAUUCUUUUAAUGCAUUUCUCAUCUACCACACAUACACACAUAUAUAAACAACACUAUCCUUUAUAAAACAUUUGCAACAUCAGAUGACAGAAGAAGAAUCCUCAAUAUCUACCAUGUUUUAAAGAUUAAAGGAAAAUAUUAUAUAAAACAAAUGAAUAACAUUGUUUCUACAAAUCUGUUGAAGAAUUCCUGUGAAACAUUUGCCCUGAAAUAUUAAUAUUAACCAAAUUUUUGAACGUCAAUGACUGGAGUGUCAAGAAGUGAAGCCUGUGUUCUGAUUGAAGUUGGAUAAAUUUAUGAAAGUGUUGCUAAACAAAGAUAACACUGGACAGAAAUACAGUAGUAGAAGUGUAUAUAAGGAAUAAAGUAUAAAAACGAAAGC